CAUAUGACCUCGAAAGGGCUUCAAGAGGGUAAGGUUAUCUUCCAUGAUGUUGAUAGCUAGAAAAUGCCAUGUCAGAUAGGCAUGCUAGUCGGUCGUAGUGUGAUACACUUAGAACUAGGAGGCAUCGAGAAUUCCAUGAAAUCGAGGAGCUAAAUGCAGUGCUGCAGAUGUGAUUCAUGUUGCAAUCGCAUCUAUCUCUAUGUGGCACACGCAACUAGGGGAUAAUCACGGACGGCAGUAACCGGUAGCUAGCCUAUGAACUAGCAAGGAGAUCAAAGACGACGAAGAAUACUAAACCAUAAAGUUGGGUAAGAGAUUUAGUUAAUUCUAAUUAGUUUCUAACACAUUCAUUUUGUGGUAUGGUAUUGGUUUCUCUGCCCUUGUCUAUUAGUCAAAUUAGACAGAAAGUGUGAACUACGCAAGAAGAAGAUGCAGACAAGCAUGCAGCAUUAGGUCACAGCCCACAAGUACACUCCAUGAUCAACAACAACGGCCAUUAGCACUUUAAUAUUG
rnacentral:lncRNA from 1 species